rnacentral:rRNA from 1 species
UACGUAGGGGCAAGCGUUGUCCGGAAUUAUUGGGCGUAAAGCGCGCGCAGGCGGUCUUUUAAGUCUGAUGUGAAAGUCCAUGGCUCAACCAUGGGAUUGCAUUGGAAACUGGGAGACUUGAGUGCAGUAGAGGAGAGUGGAAUUCCUGGUGUAGACGGUGAAAUGCGUAGAGAUCAGGAGGAACACCAAUGGCGAAGGCAGCUCUCUGGACUGUAACUGGACGCUGAAGGCGCGAAAGCGUGGGUAGCAAACAGG